CCCGCGGCUUGCGCCGCGGGCUAAAUUUUACCGCCCCUCCGGGGCU
rnacentral:sRNA from 1 species